AACAUCCGUCCCAUUACUACGGGGAAUAGUCCGCCGCGUUAUCGACUGCUCAUGAGUGAUGGAUUGAACACUCUAUCCUCUUUCAUGUUGGCGACACAGUUGAACCCUCUCGUGGAGGAAGAACAAUUGUCCAGCAACUGUGUAUGCCAGAUUCACAGAUUUAUUGUGAACACUCUGAAAGACGGAAGGAGAGUAGUUAUCUUGAUGGAAUUAGAAGUUUUGAAGUCAGCUGAAGCAGUUGGAGUGAAGAUUGGCAAUCCAGUGCCCUAUAAUGAAGAAGCUGAAAAAAAAGUCAUUACUUCAGACAAUUCUAGAGAAAGGCGAAAAGAAUCUUCAAAUCACUGGCCCCAUUAAAGGAAAGGAUUGUUUGCCCUUACACCAAGUCAAAACAUAAAAGCCUCAUUUGACACCAA
rnacentral:lncRNA from 1 species